rnacentral:rRNA from 1 species
GAUGAACGCUAGCGGCAGGCCUAAUACAUGCAAGUCGGACGGGAUUGGAGAGCUUGCUUUCCAUGAGAGUGGCGCACGGGUGCGUAACACGUAUGUAACCUACCUUGUUCAGGGGGAUAGCCUCUCGAAAGAGAGAUUAAGACCGCAUAACAUUGCGAUGUGGCAUCACAUUGUAAUCAAAUAUUUAUAGGAACAAGAUGGGCAUGCGGAACAUUAGCUAGUUGGUAAGGUAACGGCUUACCAAGGCUACGAUGUUUAGGGGAUCUGAGAGGAUGACCCACCCCACUGGUACUGAGACACGGACCAGACUCCUACGGGAGGCAGCAGUAAGGAAUAUUGGUCAAUGGGCGGAAGCCUGAACCAGCCAUGCCGCGUGCAGGAAGACGGCCCUAUGGGUUGUAAACUGCUUUUGCAGGGGAAUAAACCUUGGUACGUGUACCAAGCUGAAUGUACUCUGAGAAUAAGGAUCGGCUAACUCCGUGCCAGCCGCCGCAGUAA